ensembl:lncRNA
AUGGCCAGGGCCACCGAGUCGGGAUGUGACCUUGACACAAGCGGCUGUGCAGUUAAUUCAAGAGUACGAGCUGAUCAACGUCCAGCCAGUUGGGGGCAGCUGAGGUCAGUGCUGCUCACGCGUGCAACAGGAUCGGCUUCUUUGAGCUGUGCCUGGGUGAACGGAAGCCUUGACGUUGACCAGCCAACGAGAGCAGAUCAGCUAAACUGCUGGGCGGGAAGGUCUGCACCAGCUGCUGCACGUUCAGCACCCCGGGGGUGGGUCUUGAGACAGCCCCUCCCAUCUGGGACCUGUGCUGGAGCUUCACCCCUCCCUCGCCCCCCCAUCACUAUAAGGCCUAAAAGGGGGUUGAUUGGAAGCCACUCUCCAUGGAAGGGACUGGAGCAGGCCAUCAGUGCCCUUCCUCCAGAGCUGGAGCUUAAACCCCUUUCCAUGUAACCCGGGGUGCUCAGGGUGUUCAGGUCAGAACAAUUCCAUUGCCAGCCCUGUCUGAAGGCACCAGCAGAGGGAAUUAACUGGCUGAUCGGGGUGGGGGUAACUGAGUCCACACUCCCGAGGGGCUGCCCCCCUCCACGUGCCAAUCCGACAGGCUGGCGAGAGCGGCGCCCAAAGGGUUAACUUUGUGCAGGUGCAGCUUUGGCAGGACCAGGGGAAUUUUCUGCCAUCUCAGGUGGUGGGUCCCGUAGGUGCAGCACGAAAGGUUUACAAUAUUCCAGCGUGAUCAUUAAAAAUCAUCCACCUGCAGCCAGCAACGAGCAGCAGCAGGAGGGACAAACGGACCCAGCAGAUGGCAUUUUGCCCUCCUCAGCAAUCAGAGCACCAUGGCCCAGCCACAGAUGGUGACCUCAGGGCAGUCAGCCUCAUAGUGCAGCACCAGUGAGAGCCCCACUUGGUACACCCGGUCUAACCAGGGGCUUGUCUGCUCUGGCAGCCUGAAGCUCAUUAGUCGUUCAUUUCAGCAGUGGAAUCCCUGCUUCACCCCAGAAGUGGGCGCAUCAGGGAAAUGUUGAAUGCUCAUUGCCUGAACAGCCCUGUGUACCCAAGGAGGCACCACUGGGAGCACAGGCCAUUUAACCCAGACAGGUUCAUUUUGGCCUAGCAGGCAAGCCACCCCGCUUUAGAAGCCACCGCAGGGACUCAUGAUCUUUGAACAACUGAGGCCCACCCAAGCAGUUGCAAGUGGAGAAUAUACACAUCUUGCCCCCCUUAACCCUGCUUCUGCUCCCCCAACAGCAACCAGCUGGGUCUGUGAACACGCAGGGAGAAGGGAAGUUGUAACACACCAAGGGGAGGGGGGGGGCGGGCAAGAGACAGCAUGAAAUAUAGAUCUAGGCUCUGCACAGAACCCUCCACUCCCUUCGUUACAGCCAACUUUCUGUCACCAUUUACCAGGGGCUGGGGCAGAUUCUCCAGCACAGGCAAUUUUCAAAACAAACGUGGAUGCUUUUCUAAGAGAUCUGCUCUAAGUCAAACAGGCAAGUCCUAUGGCCUGUGCCAUGCUGGAAGUCAGACUAGCACAGUGGUUUUCAACCUUUUUUAUCUGCAGAACCCUAAACAAUUUCAAAUGGAGGUGCAGACCCCUUGGAAAUCUUAGACACUGUCGUCAGACCCCCAGGAGUCUGCCGACUACAGGCUGAAAACCACCGGACGAAACGAAUACGGUGGUCUCUGCUGGCUUUGGAAUCUCUUGACAGACGGCCUUGUGGUAAAGGCAGGGGACUGGGAUUCGGGGGAUUUGGGUUCCAUUCACAGUUUGGACACUGACUUCCCCUCAGCUCCCUGUCUAUACAAUGGGGCUAUGAAUCCCUCCAUUGUCUGUCUGCUCUCUUUAGAUUCAAAGCUCUUUAGGGCAGAGACUCUUUGUAGGUGUCUGAGGGCCUCUGAUUGAGUCAUCACGUGCUACUAUAAUACAAACCCAUCCAAUUCUUAACCAGGUAAAGACUAACCAGAAGGAACGCAGGAGCUUCUGUUCUUCCUGUCUCAUCCCACAAGAGCGAAGGGACACUCAAAUAGAAUUAAAAGGUAGGGAAUUCAAAACCAAUAAGAGGAAACACUUUUCAGUUAGCCUGUGGAACUCACCACCACAUGAAGUUGAGACCAAAACCAGCCUGGACAGUCACGUAGAUAAAGACUAUCCAGGGCUAGAAUUUAAAUUACAACAAUAAUUCUGGAAUGGAUAUUAAACCUUGUGCUUCAGAGUUUAAGCUGAACUACUAGACAUCGGGAUGAGACUUAUGGCGGUGGAAAGUAACCCGCCCCACCCCCAACUGUUACUGUGGGGUCUUUACCCUUCCUCUGCAGCCUCUACUGCUGAUGCUACAUGGACCUCAGGGCUGACCCAGUCUGGCAAUUGCUACAUUCAGGUUAUUUUUCCACGUUGGCUGUCGCUGCCCCGGGACAUUAGGGGAUCAUGAAGGAGAAGCUGCUUGAUGGGAUGGCAAAAUGGGAACAGAGGGCCCAUGGGAAUCUCCUCAACCCCACACUAUCAAAAGUCUGAGGUAACACCGAGCUCUUUAAUUAGCACUUUUCAUCCGCAGCUCUCAAAGUGCUUCAUAAAGGAGGCUCAGUAUCACAAGCCCCAUUUUACAGAUGGGGAAACUGAGGCACGGGGAAGGGACUUGCCAAAGGUCAUAACUGGGAAUAGAACCCAAGUCUCCCAAGUCCCCUAUGCACUAGGUGGCACUGCCUGCCAAAGCAGCUUGCAAGGUCACAAUGCUGCACUGUUUGGUUUGCAGGGGAAGGUUUAAAAAACAAACUGUUCUCUUUGGAAUUUCUUAAUUUCUAGGGACUUUGGGGUAUGUAACAGCCUUGUUUUACAGCCCCUAAAUUCAAGGUCUAAAUCAACCCCAGCCCUGUCUACACGGGGAUAUGCCCCCUCCUCUACCCCACCCAAAAAAUUCUAACCAGUUUUAAAACCAGCUGGAGCCAGAGCAUUGACCAGGCUCCGACAGCUCCAACCAUCGGUUAAGGUGGGCCUGGGCCGUGCCAGGACUCCAGCCACUUUUCAGAACCAGUGAAAAGUUGGGGGGGGGAGGGGGAAUUUUCACUGGUCUUCAAAUAAAUCUCUCUAAAAAUCUUUCCUUGCA